AGCUGGCGGCUGCCUAUCAUGCAAGUCGUAGCGAAUCAAUUGGAGCUUGCUCCUUUUGAUUAGCGGCGGACGGGUGAGUAACACGUGGGCAACCUGCCCUGCAGAUGGGGAUAACUCCGGGAAACCGGGGCUAAUACCGAAUAAUCAGUUCCUUCGCAUGAAGGAACUCUGAAAGACGGUUUCGGCUGUCACUGCAGGAUGGGCCCGCGGCGCAUUAGCUAGUUGGUGGGGUAAUGGCCUACCAAGGCAACGAUGCGUAGCCGACCUGAGAGGGUGAUCGGCCACACUGGGACUGAGACACGGCCCAGACUCCUACGGGAGGCAGCAGUAGGGAAUCUUCCACAAUGGACGAAAGUCUGAUGGAGCAAUGCCGCGUGAGUGAAGAAGGUUUUCGGAUCGUAAAGCUCUGUUGCGAGGGAAGAACACGUACGGGAGUAACUGCCCGUACCUUGACGGUACCUCGUCAGAAAGCCACGGCUAACUACGUGCCAGCAGCCGCGGUAAUACGUAGGUGGCAAGCGUUGUCCGGAAUUAUUGGGCGUAAAGCGCGCGCAGGCGGUCCUUUAAGUCUGAUGUGAAAGCCCACGGCUCAACCGUGGAGGGUCAUUGGAAACUGGGGGACUUGAGUACAGAAGAGGAAAGCGGAAUUCCACGUGUAGCGGUG
rnacentral:rRNA from 1 species